rnacentral:rRNA from 1 species
UACGGAGGGUGCAAGCGUUAUCCGGAUUUAUUGGGUUUAAAGGGUGCGUAGGCGGCAUUUUAAGUCAGUGGUGAAAUCCUGCAGCUUAACUGUAGAUGUGCCAUUGAAACUGAAGUGCUUGAGUUAUCUUGAGGUAGGCGGAAUGUGUAGUGUAGCGGUGAAAUGCUUAGAUAUUACACAGAACACCGAUUGCGAAGGCAGCUUACUAAGGAUAAACUGACGCUGAGGCACGAAAGCGUGGGGAUCGAACAGG